rnacentral:rRNA from 1 species
AUUGAACGCUGGCGGCAGGCUUAACACAUGCAAGUCGAGCGGGGGAAGGUAGCUUGCUACCGGACCUAGCGGCGGACGGGUGAGUAAUGCUUAGGAAUCUGCCUAUUAGUGGGGGACAACAUCUCGAAAGGGAUGCUAAUACCGCAUACGUCCUACGGGAGAAAGCAGGGGAUCUUCGGACCUUGCGCUAAUAGAUGAGCCUAAGUCGGAUUAGCUAGUUGGUGGGGUAAAGGCCUACCAAGGCGACGAUCUGUAGCGGGUCUGAGAGGAUGAUCAGACAUACUGGGACUGGGACACGGCCCCGCUUCCUACGGGAGGCAGCAGUGGAGAAUAUUAGAGGAAUGGGGAAACCGUGAACCAGACAUGACGCGUGUGUGAAGAAGGCCUUAUGGUUGUAAAGCACUUUAAGCGAGGAGGAGGCUACUCUAGUUAAUACCUAGGGAUAGUGGACGUUACUCGCAGAAUAAGCACCGGCUAACUCUGUGCCAGCCGCCGCGGUAA